GAACCGUUUAGGGGUAAACCUGAGAAACCCGAAAGGUCGAAGGGAGAAAUUCAUUCGCGUUUCGCCGUUGGCGUGAGACGGUCGUGUGACGGAAAGCGUUCGCGUUUUCCGCACCUUUCGUUUUUCGAUCCGAUAGCGAACGCGUGCACUUUUCUCCUGGUAGGACGUCGCGAUCCGUUGGGUGUCGGUCUACGGCUCGCGGUGGAGCCCGGAUGUACGGCUUGCCGUCACGUCCGGACCCGCGUGUCCCGGCUGACUCGCUCGACGGUAUACGAAAGGUUUAAGGCCGCUCUUUGAGCGUUCGGCUCGUCGCAAGCGCGUCAGAUGUGUCGGUGAUCGGACCUAGUGCCGGUUCUGACCUCUGGCGACUGUUGGCGGCGAAGUUCUCGAACAGACCUUCGACCGAUCUGCGACGCUAUAGCUUUGGGUACUUUCAGGACCCGUCUUGAAACACGGACCAAGGAGUCUAGCAUGUGCGCAAGUCAUUGGGAAUCACUAAACCUAAAGGCGCAAUGAAAGUAAAGGUCCGCCUUGCGCGGACUGAGGGAAGACGAGCGGUUUACCCUUAAAAGUGGCCGCUCCGCAUUCCCGGGGCGUCUCAUUCUCAUCGCGAGAAGAGGCGCACCAAGAGCGUACACGCUGGGACCCGAAAGAUGGUGAACUAUGCCUGGUCAGGACGAAGUCAGGGGAAACCCUGAUGGAGGUCCGUAGCGAUUCUGACGUGCAAAUCGAUCGUCGGAACUGG
rnacentral:rRNA from 1 species